UCACUCUUAGAGGAGGACUGGUCUUCAGUCAAGGGUAUAUGAGUAGCUGUGCCCCCUGCUAGAACCUCCAAACAAGCUGUCUUUUAAGAAUUAUUUAAUUUAUUUAUUUGAGAGAGAGAAAUAGGC
rnacentral:sRNA from 1 species